AAGAAUGCUCAUGCCGGUCUGCUGACGGUGGGAGGGGUCGUGGAGUCGCAUGGUGGAGAGUUAAGAUGGCGGCAUGGAUGCGAGUGCACGUGAGAAGAAACCACGCGUAAGUUUCUCUCUGUGGAUGCUGACAUUGAUGCGCGCCGGGGGUUGUAUAAUAAUAAGAGUCACGCGAGAGUUUGGUGAGUCGAUUAAAAAAAAAAAAAAAAGAAAAAAAAAA